AGUUCAGUCUUCCCAGGCCCACCACUUUCAUCGAGCGAGCAUUCGUCUUCUGGUUACGGGGCCAUAGCUCAGCUGGGAGAGCGCGUGCUUUGCAAGCAUGAGGUCGUCGGUUCGAUCCCGUCUGGCUCCACCAGCCUUCGCUGGCGGAUCGCCAGCUACGGCUCGGUAAACCGUCCGGUGCGAAGGCUGCCACGUCGGAGCUCGAAAGAGCGGAGACGGGCUGGCGCCAUGAACGUCAUCGUCCGCGAAACAUCACUUCGCACCCACUAGUCCGGAUGGACGGUGAGGUUGCGUGUUUUCUGACAUCGUAAAGAGGAGAUCGAUCCGAGUUGGAUCGUGCAGCAAUUGUUGCGCGAGCCUUCAUUAUCUCCGGAUCAUUUCGGCGCUCGCUUCCAGCCGUGAGGUUGAUGGCGGGUUGUAAAUGAUCCUUUUAGCGAAGCUUGACCGCCUCGCUAUCGGAACGAUCUUACGAAGCAAGCUGGUCUUUCUAGUCAGUGUCCGGCUGCGACAAUCGCGUUCAUCGAGGACGCUUGCCUUUGAUGGCAGUUGCGCAGACAACAUUCUGCCGAGUGUGUGGACAUUGAUAAUGAGAGCAAUCAAGUGCCUUAAGGGUGUUCGGUGGAUGCCUUGCGCUGAGAGGCGACGAAGGACGUGCUACGCUGCGAUAAGCCGUGGGGAGCUGCGAAGAAGCUUUGAUCCGCGGAUUU
rnacentral:misc_RNA from 1 species